ACGGGAGGCAGCAGUGGGGAAUAUUGCACAAUGGGGGAAACCCUGAUGCAGCAACGCCGCGUGAGCGAAGAAGGCCUUUGGGUCGUAAAGCUCUGUCCUAAGGGAAGAAGAAGUGACGGUACCUUAGGAGGAAGCCCCGGCUAACUACGUGCCAGCAGCCGCGGUAAUACGUAGGGGGCGAGCGUUAUCCGGAAUUAUUGGGCGUAAAGGGUACGUAGGCGGUUCUUUAAGCGUGAGGUGAAAGGCAAUGGCUUAACCAUUGUAAGCCUUGCGAACUGGAGGACUUGAGUGCAGGAGAGGAAAGCGGAAUUCCUAGUGUAGCGGUGAAAUGCGUAGAUAUUAGGAGGAACACCAGUGGCGAAGGCGGCUUUCUGGACUGUAACUGACGCUGAGGUACGAAAGUGUGGGGAGCAAACAGGAUUAGAUACCCUGGUA
rnacentral:rRNA from 1 species